UUGUCCUGAGGAGCCAUGAUUUCUCCAGGAGCUGGGUAAAGGGCACCGGGAUCAGCCUCUCAAAGGAUUCCAGCCGGCUGUUCCAGUCCAGGAGGACACCUGUGCCACUGAAGUCUCCCAGCACCUGGGCAGUGAAGUGCCACUUAACCCCGCUGUGAUGCACAGACCUUGCCCUGGCUGUCUGCACAGGGCUGAAUUUCACCCCUUCCGAGUGUAUUCUAAGGGCCCCCCGUGCAUCAUAUGGGCAUUCUUGGGGGUGCAGAUGGCAUCAGACCUGCACCUAAAUAAAUAAUAGGGACUGAAAUAUGCAGACACUAAAGUUCUGCAGCCAAAUUCUCAGGAACCUUCCUCUUCCAUGUAGGAUCAGGAUUUUGUUUUGAAUUGUUUUAUUUUUUUUAAAAAGUGCUAAGCAGAUGCUACCCUGUAAGAAGAGGAAACAGAAGCAAAAACUGAAAGACUGUUACUAAAACCAAUGAACAGCUGCAGAGAGUGGAGACCCAGCAAAGCAGACAAAUGAAUACUGUGAGUAAAUAACCUGAAAGCAAAUGGGGAAGAAAACCUCCUCUGGGUAAUUGUGGCUCUUGGGACCAAAAUCAGGUUCCUGGUACGUAGCCUGGCUGAGAUCAUCCCUUUUCCCUGGAUCCCAGACCUGGGAUUCAAAUGUCAUUCUCUGUGUGGUGUCCUUAUUUUAUUCCUA